rnacentral:rRNA from 1 species
CGGGAGCAAUCCUGGUGGCGAGUGGCGAACGGGUGAGUAAUAUAUCGGAACGUGCCCAGUAGUGGGGGAUAACCCGGCGAAAGCCGGACUAAUACCGCAUACGACCUACGGGUGAAAGCAGGGGAUCGCAAGACCUUGCGCUAUCGGAGCGGCCGAUAUCAGAUUAGCUUGUUGGUGGGGUAAAAGCCUACCAAGGCGACGAUCUGUAGCUGGUCUGAGAGGACGACCAGCCACACUGGGACUGAGACACGGCCCAGACUCCUACGGGAGGCAGCAGUGGGGAAUUUUGGACAAUGGGCGCAAGCCUGAUCCAGCCAUGCCGCGUGCGGGAAGAAGGCCUUCGGGUUGUAAACCGCUUUUGUCAGGGAAGAAACGGCUCGGGCUAAUACCUCGGGCUAAUGACGGUACCUGAAGAAUAAGCACCGGCUAACUACGUGCCAGCAGCCGCGGUAAUACGUAGGGUGCAAGCGUUAAUCGGAAUUACUGGGCGUAAAGCGUGCGCAGGCGGUCAUGCAAGACAGAUGUGAAUCCCCGGGCUCAACCUGGGAACUGCAUUUGUGACUGCAUGACUUGAGUACGGUAGAAGGGGG